CUCUUUUUCUUCCACCUUUUCUUUUUUUUCUCUAAUUAUAAAUUAGCAAUGUCGCAGAUGUAGAAAAUGAAAACUUGAAUGGGUUGUUCUAUUAUUCAGGCAUGUAUUGGCAUAUUUUGCACUCCAGUUGUCUGUACUAUAGCUGGGUCCAGAUAUAUACAAUACAUCUCUAUCUUUAAAUACCACAUGAAGUUUUUUGAUGCAGUUAACACUUCCUAUGGUUUAGACUUGACUCUAUUGAGACUGGAGAUGACUAUCUCCUUUGGCUGUUUCAACUUGACUGUCCUCCAAGAAUUUCUUUUUCCCAGAUCCAAAUUUGACUUUAUUUGACUUAUUCCAGAUAAGGGUCUCAGAGACAGCAUACACUCUCAUUUUUCUUCUAUUAUCUUUUUUUUUUUUCUUUAUUGCCA
rnacentral:lncRNA from 1 species